ACAGAUAAGAUGAUCCUCUUCGGAGUGAAUCUUUGCUGACGAGUGGCGGACGGGUGAGUAAUGCUUGGGAAUCUGCCCAAUAGUGGGGGAAAACUCGGGGAAACCCGGGCUAAUACCGCAUAAUCUCUACGGAGGAAAGAGGGCCUCUACAUGUAAGCUCUCGCUAAUGGAUGAGCCCAAGUCAGAUUAGCUAGUUGGUAAGGUAAUGGCUUACCAAGGCUACGAUCUGUAGCUGGUCUGAGAGGAUGAUCAGCCACACUGGGACUGAGACACGGCCCAGACUCCUACGGGAGGCAGCAGUGGGGAAUAUUGCACAAUGGGCGCAAGCCUGAUGCAGCAAUGCCGCGUGUGUGAAGAAGGCUCUAGGGUUGUAAAGCACUUUCAAUAGAGAAGAAAAGCUUGAAAUUAAUACUUUCAAGCCUUGACGUAAUCUAUACAAGAAGCACCGGCUAAUUCCGUGUCAGCAGCCGCGGUAAUACGGGAGGUGCGAGCGUUAAUCGGAAUUACUGGGCGUAAAGCGAGCGUAGGCUGUUAAUUAAGUCGAAUGUGAAAUCCCCGGGCUCAACCUGGGAACUGCAUUCGAAACUAUUUAACUAGAGUAUGGGAGAGGAAAGUAGAAUUUCCGGUG
rnacentral:rRNA from 1 species